CAUAAAGAGGUGUAGAGACAUCUGAGGAGAAUACAGAGGUACAUAAAGAGGUGUAGAGACAUCUGAGGAGAAUACAGAGGUACAUAAAGAGGUGUAGAGACAUCUGAGGAGAAUACAGAGGUACAUAAAGAGGUGUAGAGACAUCUGAGGAGAAUACAGAGGUACAUAAAGAGGUGUAGAGACAUCUGAGGAGAAUACAGAGGUACAUAAAGAGGUGUAGAGACAUCUGAGGAGAAUACAGAGGUACAUAAAGAGGUGUAGAGACAUCUGAGGGGAAUACAGAGGUACAUAAAGAGGUGUAGAGACAUCUGAGGGGAAUACAGAGGUACAUAAAGAGGUGUAGAGACAUCUGAGGGGAAUACAGAGGUACAUAAAGAGGUGUAGAGACAUCUGAGGAGAAUACAGAGGUACAUAAAGAGGUGUAGAGACAUCUGAGGAGAAUACAGAGGUACAUAAAGAGGUGUAGAGACAUCUGAGGAGAAUACAGAGGUACAUAAAGAGGUGUAGAGACAUCUGAGGGGAAUACAGAGGUACAUAAAGAGGUGUAGAGACAUCUGAGGAGAAUACAGAGGUACAUAAAGAGGUGUAGAGACAUCUGAGGGAAUACAGAGGUACAUAAAGAGGUGUAGAGACAUCUGAGGAGAAUACAGAGCAGAGGUACAUAAAGAGGUGUAGAGACAUCUGAGGGGAAUACAGAGCAGAGGUACAUAAAGAGGUGUAGAGACAUCUGAGGAGAAUACAGAGCAGAGGUACAUAAAGAGGUGUAGAGACAUCUGAGGGGAAUACAGAGGUACAUAAAGAGGUGUAGAGACAUCUGAGGAGAAUACAGAGCAGAGGUACAUAAAGAGGUAUAGAGACAUCUGAGGGGAAUACAGAGGUACAUAAAGAGGUGUAGAGACAUCUGAGGAGAAUACAGAGGUACAUAAAGAGGUAUAGAGACAUCUGAGGGGAAUACAGAGCAGAGGUACAUAAAGAGGUGUAGAGACAUCUGAGGGGAAUACAGAGGUACAUAAAGAGGUGUAGAGACAUCUGAGGAGAAUACAGAGGUACAUAAAGAGGUAUAGAGACAUCUGAGGAGAAUACAGAGCAGAGGUACAUAAAGAGGUAUAGAGACAUCUGAGGGGAAUACAGAGCAGAGGUACAUAAAGAGGUAUAGAGACAUCUGAGGGGAAUACAGAGGUACAUAAAGAGGUGUAGAGACAUCUGAGGGGAAUACAGAGCAGAGGUACAUAAAGAGGUGUAGAGACAUCUGAGGGGAAUACAGAGGUACAUAAAGAGGUGUCACACAGUGGGUUAUGGUCUGUUAAACUGUAGUCGUGACACAUUUCUCAGUGGGUCAGAAGACAACCUCAAUAAACCUGUAGAACUAAGAUUAAAAUAUGCAUACAUAUUCUACAAAAACAAUGGCUGAGUAAACCAGGAAUGGACCCUCACCUUCCCACCCCCUUUAGACUCAGUGACUCUCUCUCACUCUCUGGUCUAGGCGACGGUCUAGGUAUAAACUUACUGAAGAAUUGUAAUUAAUUAACUAUGUGUAAAUAAAACUCUGUGGAUGUCCUGGAAAUACUGGUCAGAGGUCAGGACCUAGUUAUAUUCUUUAAAUGUUGACAUUGUAAGAAUAAUUUGCAAUGGAUAUGCCAUGUAUCACAUUGUAUAUGGGUAUAUUGCCAUCCUUACCCGACCAGGGCAGGAAAAACUCUGGGCCCUAGCAAUGAAGCCUGGAUUUCUGUAGUUGAA